ACGGUCCUAAGGUAGCGAAAUUCCUUGUCGGGUAAGUUCCGACCUGCACGAAUGGCAUAAUGAUGGCCAGGCUGUCUCCACCCGAGACUCAGUGAAAUUGAAAUCGCCGUGAAGAUGCGGUGUACCCGCGGCUAGACGGAAAGACCCCGUGAACCUUUACUAUAGCUUGACACUGAACAUUGAAUUUUGAUGUGUAGGAUAGGUGGGAGACUUUGAAGAUGAUACGCCAGUAUUGUUGGAGUCGUCCUUGAAAUACCACCCUUUAACGUUUGAUGUUCUAACGAAGAUUACGAAACGUGGUCUCGGACAGUGUCUGGUGGGUAGUUUGACUGGGGCGGUCUCCUCCCAAAGAGUAACGGAGGAGCACGAAGGUUUGCUAAUGACGGUCGGACAUCGUCAGGUUAGUGCAAUGGUAUAAGCAAGCUUAACUGCGAGACAGACAAGUCGAGCAGGUACGAAAGUAGGUCAUAGUGAUCCGGUGGUUCUGAAUGGAAGGGCCAUCGCUCAACGGAUAAAAGGUACUCCGGGGAUAACAGGCUGAUACCGCCCAAGAGUUCAUAUCGACGGCGGUGUUUGGCACCUCGAUGUCGGCUCAUCACAUCCUGGGGCUGAAGUAGGUCCCAAGGGUAUGGCUGUUCGCCAUUUAAAGUGGUACGCGAGCUGGGUUUAGAACGUCGUGAGACAGUUCGGUCCCUAUCUGCCGUGGGCGUUGGAGAAUUGAUUGGGGCUGCUCCUAGUACGAGAGGACCGGAGUGGACGCACCACUGGUGUUCCGGUUGUGUCGCCAGACGCAUUGCCGGGUAGCUAAGUGCGGAAGAGAUAAGUGCUGAAAGCAUCUAAGCACGAAACUUGCCAAGAGAUGAGUUCUCCCUGUUUUUAAGACAGUAAGGGUUGUUUAAGACUAAGACGUAGAUAGGUCUGGUGUGUAAGCGGUGCGAGCCGUUGAGCUAACAGAUACUAAUUGCCCGAGAGGCUUAACUAU
rnacentral:rRNA from 1 species